rfam:Epulopiscium sp. SCG-C07WGA-EpuloA2 SCGC07WGA_86, whole genome shotgun sequence.
GGACCUUUAGCUCAGUUGGUUAGAGCAUCCGGCUCAUAACCGGACGGUCCUGGGUUCGAGUCCCCGAAGGUCCA